AGUGAACGCUGGCGGUAGGCCUAACACAUGCAAGUCGAACGGCAGCACAGAGGAGCUUGCUCCUUGGGUGGCGAGUGGCGGACGGGCGAGGAAUACAUCGGAAUCUACUCUGUCGUGGGGGAUAACGUAGGGAAACUUACGCUAAUACCGCAUAUGACCUACGGGUGAAAGCAGGGGAUCUCCGGACCUUGCGCGAUUGAAUGAGCCGAUGUCGGAUUAGCGAGUUGGCGGGGUAAAGGCCCACCAAGGCGACGAUCCGUAGCUGGUCUGAGAGGAUGAUCAGCCACACUGGAACUGAGACACGGUCCAGACUCCUACGGGAGGCAGCAGUGGGGAAUAUUGGACAAUGGGCGCAAGCCUGAUCCAGCCAUACCGCGUGGGUGAAGAAGGCCUUCGGGUUGUAAAGCCCUUUUGUUGGGAAAGAAAUCCAUCUGGUUAAUACCCGGGUGGGAUGACGGUACCCAAAGAAUAAGCACCGGCUAACUUCGUGCCAGCCGCCGCCGUAA
rnacentral:rRNA from 1 species